GGCAGAGCGAGGCAAGCAGAGGACUGAGGAUCAUUAGGCUUCCAGAAGGAGACUGGAGCGAUAUUAGCCGCCUAGGAGUGAAGGGAGUGGCCGGGAUCAAGGGAGUCAUUCAGCCGGCUGCCUGCGACGUUCACAGCUUCCUUCUAAGUUAGAGAAACGAUUCGGAGGCUGCCGACUCGAGGUGAAAAUCUUGCCACCUGUUAAAAUGAAGGAGCAGAGUUGUGAAGUUAUGAAUAAUAGGAGUUCGCCUUCCACCCACUGGCCAGACGUGGGAGAGAAAGAGGACUUACUUAUCUUCUAACUGGAAGUUUGUACCUUUUGGCCACCUGCAUCCAAUUUCCGGUGCCCCCACCCUUACCUCCAGGAACCACAGAUCCCACCUCUUUUUCGAAGGGAAGCCAGAUGAGGUGAUUCGUUGUCAUCAUCCUCACCUUUGUCCUCCUCCUCCUCUCAUCAGAAGACACUGAGAAUAAGCCUUAGGGAACACAUGGGGGCUGCCUCCACACAUGUUAAAUUAUGUCAUGAGAGAUCAGCAGCAAACUUACUAUAUUCGGAUUUAGAACUACAAUCAAAGUGACGCAAUGGAGUAUCGUAACUAAUCAAACAGGAAUUUUGAACCAAAAAGAUCUGAGUUUGGUAUUCUUUUUCAGUACAUGUGAGCUACAGAAUCUUGAGUAAGUUACUAAACUUCUAUGUACAAUCUUUUAUCUGUAAAAUAGCGCUCAUAAUAGUAGUUAUUGUGUGUGUGAGGAUUUGUGGAUAUACGUAUGAAGGGCUGAGCACAAUGCUGCAAAUACAGCAGAUGCACUCCAAACUUACCUGCUGUUGUGUGGAAGUUGGGGGCGAAUAAACUUGAGCUGUUCGUGAACGAAAUACUCUGUGAUAGUUAGAGCCAUUCAACAAAGGCACGAGUUGUCUGAGGGGACAGCUGUAAAAAAAGGUCUUGGAAGAAUGCUUUUAUAUUGGAGUCUAGGAAUAAAUUACUGAACUGGCCUCUGCUGCGGACAACUGGUUGCUCAAUUCCACGGGACCAACCGAGUAAAAGUAUACAGUGAGCUUUCAGGAUGUUUGUCCAGCAAAGAUUGAAAGGGAAAGUAUAUGGACCCAUCGACUCCUGCCCCCCAAGGCCACACUUUGACCGUACCAGCAGGUAACUGCCUGCAUUUCCAGGUCGAACACGUCAUGGUAUUGAGAGAAAAGUCCUGGGUCUGGAUGCAAACACGAAACAUCUAAAGAACGCCUACGAAUGAAGAAGCCAACAUAAGACAACCCUGUAGGAAACUGGGCAGGAUGCCUGAACGGAUACUUCCAAAAGAGGCCAUUUCAGGACCAGUAAACAUAUGAAAAACUGUUUAUCAUUUGUGGGUCACUGUGAAAAUGAAAUUUAAAAGCACAAAGAGAGAUGAUUAUACAACCACCAGAGUGGCCAAAAUUUAGAAGGCAGAGAAACCCAAGUUUGUGGGGACCAGGAGCAGCUGGGGCUCUCCUACGCUGGUGCUGGGAAUGUAAAUUGGCAAGUGUCUUUGGAAAAACUGUAAAUAAAGUAAGUUGGAGGAGUUUCCACUGUGGUGCCGUGGGUUGAGGAUCCAACUGCAGCAGUUCAUGUCUCUGCAGAGGCACAGGUUCAAUCCCUGGCCCGGCUCAAGGGUAAAGGAUUUGGCGUUGCUAGAGCUGUUGCAUAAGAUUCAGUCACUGGCCCAGGAACAUCCAUAUGCCACGGGUGCUGCCAUUACAAAUAAAUAAAUAGUAAAUCCCUUCAGAAAACUUAUCAUACAUUCUAAAGCUGAACAUAUGUCUACCUGGUUACUCAAGAAUUUCAUUUCCAAGUGCUUACCCAAGAGAAAUGCCUAAGAGCCACACGGUUCGGCUCGUUGUUGCACUGCUGUGAUGACCCUACGAGCUCUCUGGGAUCUCUUUCAGGAAGCGCUAAUCCCAUUCCUGAGGGAUCCACUCUCAUGACCUAAUCGCCUCCAAAGGUCCCACGUUCUAAUGCUAUUACGGCACGCAUUAGCUUUCAACAUAUGAAAUUUGGGAGGCUACAGACAUCCAGUCUAUAGCGUAUCUCCCCUCCCCCCUUUUUUUUUUCUUUGAAGUGGGUCAGUGUUUGGACAGGGAAAAUAAAAACCAAAUAUACACAUAUAUAUACACACAUAGCAUCUAUUGGAUUGAGCCAGAAAUCUAAGCACUCAGACCAAAAUGACAGGUGGUGAGUCUUUAGCUGAGGCUGGGGCACAGGCGUUUUCAUGUAAAUUUCCCCUGACAACCUGGCGAGGCCAUCCUGGGCCCCGGGGCUGUGCCUUAACAAUCACACAUUUAUUUGGUUUUUAGCUGUUCUCCCCAGGGCAUGUGCCUUUGGGCCUGAGGCCUGGCUAUGUGAGAUUUUUCACCUUUGGGAUUCACAGGGGCUUGUGGCACCUCUGCCACCCAGGCUUUCUAGAGCACCGCCUGCAGAUCUGUCUCCAUAGAAACAGCAGUUCGGGGGACAGACGACGAUGAGGGACCACCUCACACCAGUCAGAAUGGCCAUCAUUAACUCGUCAACAAAGAACAAAUGCUGGAGAAUAUGUGGAGAAAAGAGACGCCUCCUGCACUGUUGGCGGGAACGUAGACUGGUACAGCCACUGUGGAGAACAGUGGGGAGGCUUCCCCAGAAAACUCAACAUAGAACUACCACGUGAUCCAGCAGUCCCACUCCUGGGCCUAUAUUCGGACCAAACCUUCGUUCAAAAAGACACCUGCCCCCAGUGUUCCUCGCAGCACCAGUCACAACAGCCUAGACAUGAAGACUUUCAUGACCCUGAGGUCUUGCGUCUUAUCGUGUCUAGAAAAGCACCAUGUCAUUAAGGGGCACAUCCGCUCCUUGGGACCAGCAGCAAACUUUGUGUGACUGGCAUCAAGCCUCUGCCAAGAUAUGGGCUUGGCGGCGUGUCCCCCUCACCAGAGUCACCUGUAUGCUGACCCCCCUCUACCCCUUCUGAGAGCCCCUCAGGGCCUUCUGAGAGGCCGGCGCCCAGACCACAGUCCUCAGCAGGCCCCAGAGGAAACUAACCUCACAGCCUCACAUUGUACAUGUUGCUCAGUCAGCAAAAAAGGCCAAAUCCAAAACGAUGUCUUCCCCACACCUGCCUCCCUUAACAACCGUGGAGUGUCUUUGGUACGGCCUGGCAAAAUCAAGAAUGGAGUUCUCAGAAAAUACCUACCCGGAUUGACGGUUCUCGAAGGUGGAAAUUAGUUCAUUUCUAAACUUGGUAAGUGUGGCGCAGAAUAGUGGAUGUUUGGACAGUUUGGGAUGUGGCCGCCAACACAAACCAUCCCUUUUCUGUGUGCCUCCAGAGAGUGAAAGGAACAGCUCUGGCAGCUCCCCACUGUGUGUGAUUAAAUAAGGGGGUUCCUGGGGCUCCAGCCAUGACACCACAUUAGACGUGGAGCCUGGGGUGCUGGAGAGAGCAGGACAGAGGGAACAGAAAGACAUGAGCUGGCCAGCUCCUAAGGACCUUCCGAAAACCCCACAGUGUCUCUGUUAUCUCAAGGACAGCCCUAGCUGCAAGGAAGGCUGGGAGAUGUCUUUUAGCCGAGCACAGUGACACCACAAAUAAAAUUGGGUUCUGUGACUGAGGACUGAGGGAGAGCAAAUAUUGGAUUAGCCGCUAGCAAUCUCUGCCAGGAGGCAGAAGUCCCGGAGGGAAAUUGUAGGAGAGUGUUUGCUCUCCUGAUGCGAACUGGAGUUUGGCACUGGCCAGCAGCCUCUCCAUGGGAUUAGAUCAUGAGCCCCUGCCGCUGCCGACCGGCAGCAUCCCCUGAGCGGAGCUCCGGGUGGAGACCGGGAGCAAGGCCCUCUGUGCUCUGGGAAACUGGAGGACAGGUCUUCAGAGACUUAGAUAUUUGUAGGAGACUUUAUGAGCGCAGUUCUUGCAUCUGCUCCCAUCAGAAAACCACUGAAAUCCUUCCUGGUGACGGAGGCCUGGACCAGCAGGAACGCUCACGAGCCCAGCAGCAAACUCUGUAAACCGUGGGCCUGCUGUGUGACCUCCCCUUCACCGUGAGGACCUGUGUCCCAGGGUCCCCUUUCCUCUUUGGGGCAGAAUUUCAGAGCUCUCUGGGCUGUCGUUAAGUGGACAAAACCAAAGAUGCCACAGUCAUCUGUGAGCGCAGCCACUCCCAAGGGUGAGCCUGUGAGCCCCGAGGGGACUCAGGAAGGAAACAAAGAAGCCGGUCCCACAGCCGAGGGUCAGAUCAAAGGAGAGACUCCAGGAAGCCCAGACCUUUGCAUCUUCCCAUAGAAAUGUGCUGAAUUCUGGAGACAUCUGGUUUUCUGCAAUAUUUUGUUCCUGCUGCUUUGCUUGUAUAUCCCAGCUCCCCCCUCACCUCCUGGGAGCAGUUUCUCAGGGCUCCCUGAGAUGCCGUCUCCCAGGCGUAAGUCCUAAUUUUGCCCCAAAUAAAACUUAACUCUCAACUUU
rnacentral:lncRNA from 9 species